CCUACGGGUGGCAGCAGUGGGGGAUAUUGGACAAUGGGUGGAACCCUGAUCCAGCGACGCCGCGUGAGUGAAGAAGUAUCUCGGUAUGUAAAGCUCUAUCAGCAGGGAAGAAGAAAUGACGGUACCUGAGUAAGAAGCCCCGGCUAACUACGUGCCAGGAGCCGCGGGAAUACGUAGGGGGCAAGCGUUAUCCGGAAUUACUGGGUGUAAAGGGAGCGUUGACGGUGAUGUAAGGCUGGAGGGAAAGGGGGGGGCCCAAACCCCGGAGUGCUCUGGAAACUAGGUGACUGGAGUGCAGGAGAGGUGAGCGGAAUGCCUGGUGUAGCGGUGAAAUGCGUAGAUAUUAGGAGGAACACCAGUGGCGAAGGCAGCUCACUGGACUGUAACUGACGUUGAGGCUCGAAAGCGUGGGGAGCGAACAGGAUUAGAUACCCUAGUAGUC
rnacentral:rRNA from 1 species